rnacentral:rRNA from 1 species
GUACUCCGGGGAUAACAGGCUGAUACCGCCCAAGAGUUCAUAUCGACGGCGGUGUUUGGCACCUCGAUGUCGGCUCAUCACAUCCUGGGGCUGAAGUAGGUCCCAAGGGUAUGGCUGUUCGCCAUUUAAAGUGGUACGCGAGCUGGGUUUAGAACGUCGUGAGACAGUUCGGUCCCUAUCUGCCGUGGGCGCUGGAGAACUGAGGGGGGCUGCUCCUAGUACGAGAGGACCGGAGUGGACGCAUCACUGGUGUUCGGGUUGUCAUGCCAAUGGCACUGCCCGGUAGCUAAAUGCGGAAGAGAUAAGUGCUGAAAGCAUCUAAGCACGAAACUUGCCCCGAGAUGAGUUCUCCCUGACCCUUUAAGGGUCCUGAAGGAAC